ensembl:snRNA U6 U6 spliceosomal RNA
GUGCAGCACAUAUACUAAAAUUGGAAUGAUACAGAGAAGAUUUGCAUGGCCACCUGUAUAAGGAUGACACACAAAUUCAUGACGCAUUCCAUAUUUUU